rnacentral:tmRNA from 1 species
GGGGGUGAUCGGUUUCGACAUUGGUCGGAUGUCCAGUGGGAAGCGGGUCGAGGACGCACGGUCAUCUCGUACAACGCUCCGUGCACACCAAUAGGUGCCGAUUCCAAGCGCACCGACUUCGCCCUCGCCGCCUGAGCGAGCCCGAAGUCCGUUGGCCUAGGUUCGAUCUCGACCUAGUCACCAGCGUCAGCUAGAGAUCUUGCUGCGUCGUCGUGCCGAGCGGCGACGCGGGACUCCCACUCGGCUGGGCCUGUCGGGGAACGUGUGCGCGCGAGCCCCGGGGCCGAGAAAAUCCACAGCGCACUGCACCCGGAGAAGCCCUGGGCUGCCGUCAGUGGACGCGGGUUCGAUUCCCGCCACCUCCACCA